AUUGAACGCUGGCGGCAGGCUUAACACAUGCAAGUCGAGCGGGUGAGGUUGCUUCGGUAACUGAGCUAGCGGCGGACGGGUGAGUAAUGCUUAGGAAUCUGCCUAUUAGUGGGGGACAACAUUCCGAAAGGAAUGCUAAUACCGCAUACGCCCUACGGGGGAAAGCAGGGGAUCUUCGGACCUUGCGCUAAUAGAUGAGCCUAAGUCAGAUUAGCUAGUUGGCGGGGUAAAGGCCUACCAAGGCGACGAUCUGUAGCGGGUCUGGGAGGAUGAUCCGCCACACGGGGACGGAGACGCGGCCCAGACUCCUACGGGAGGCAGCAGUGGGGAAUAUUGGACAAUGGGCGAAAGCCUGAUCCAGACAUGCCGCGUGUGUGAAGAAGGCCUUUUGGUUGUAAAGCACUUUAAGCGAGGAGGAGGCUACUUGGAUUAAUACUCUAGGAUAGUGGACGUUACUCGCAGAAUAAGCACCGGCUAACUCUGUGCCAGCAGCCGCCGUAA
rnacentral:rRNA from 1 species